UACGUAGGGUGCAAGCGUUGUUCGGAAUUAUUGGGCGUAAAGGGUGCGUAGGCGGUUUGGUAAGUCUUAUGUGAAAUCUAUGGGCUCAACUCAUAGACUGCAUGAGAAACUGCCGGGCUUGAGUAUGGGAGAGGUGAGUGGAAUUCCUGGUGUAGCGGUGAAAUGCGUAGAUAUCAGGAGGAACACCUGUGGCGAAAGCGGCUCACUGGACCAUAACUGACGCUGAUGCACGAAAGCUAGGGGAGCAAACAGG
rnacentral:rRNA from 1 species